GCCAGUGAAGAUGACUGCAUUACGGCCAGCCAGAUUCUGACAGAGCUGCUUGGCCACCAGACUGUGAAGCUGGGGUUUAUUUUUCAGCGUGUCCAAACCAUCUGGACCUGGACCCUCCUUUAGAUGGACAUAGAUCUGAUACGAUGUGAUGUAACAUCUUGGGGCAGUUGAUCAAUUUUUGGGUGAUAUCCUCCUGUGCUGUGCACUCACCUGACAGAUGAAACCAGUGGAGCUGCACUGUCUCACCCACAGGCUGAACUUUCUCUUCUUCCUCUUGCGCAGCUCCCUCUCUGUACAUGUGCUAAUGAACACGGGGUCCUCAUCAAUCAAGGGCUCAUGGAGGACCUGAGGGAAAGCAGCAUGUCUCAUUUGAAAACUUCACCAUGAUAACUCUUCAAACGCAUCAUUUGUCAAUGCAAAGUUGCUUUUCAAGCUUUUUAUGUUCCCUGCAGGAGAUGCACGCUGAAAUCAUGAUGAAGAUCCUGAGAAAAGAUGUUGGCUUAUCAAGUUAGGGGAUAAGAAGCAAACACACACUGUGGCAGUCAAAGUGAGCUGGAUGGCACACAUUGUCAAGGUGAUAUAACCAUGGCACUGGGAGAGCUGAGAGACGCAGAUGGUGCUUAGUUUACUCAUGGCAGGGCCUGAAGGACGAGGCUAAGCUCUGCUGGAGAGAGUCCAGGAAGGGUUGGAUCUUAUAGAGGCCCUGACUGCCACCUUGGCUGGAGCGGAAGGCUACGACGUGGAAGUACUUGAGGAUCUUCUCGAACCGUGCCU